rnacentral:rRNA from 1 species
CGGCGAACGGGUGAGUAACACGUGAGCAAUCUGCCCUUCACUUCGGGAUAACUCCGGGAAACCGGUGCUAAUACCGAAUACGACCACUUCAGGCAUCUGAUGGUGGUGGAAAGUUCCGGCGGUGAAGGAUGAGCUCGCGGCCUAUCAGCUUGUUGGUGGGGUAACGGCCCACCAAGGCAACGACGGGUAGCCGGCCUGAGAGGGUGACCGGCCACACUGGGACUGAGACACGGCCCAG